rnacentral:rRNA from 1 species
GUGUCAGCCGCCGCGGUAAUACGGAGGGUCCGAGCGUUAUCCGGAGUCAUUGGGUUUAAAGGGUCCGUAGGCGGGCCUGUAAGUCAGGGGUGAAAGUUUGUGGCUCAACCAUAAAAUUGCCUUUGAUACUGCAGGUCUUGAGUCAUGGUGGGGUUGCCGGAACAUGUGGUGUAGCGGUGAAAUGCAUAGAUAUCACAUAGAACACCGAUCGCGAAGGCAGGUGACCAACCAUGUACUGACGCUGAUGGACGAAAGCGUGGGUAGCGAGCGGGAUUAGAUACCCCGGUAGUCCACGCCGUAAACGAUGGAUACUAGCUGUGGGGACUUCGGUCUCCGUGGCCAAGCGAAAGUGAUAAGUAUCCCACCUGGGGAGUACGUUCGCAAGAAUGAAACUUAAAGGAAUUGGCGGGG